GCUGGGUGCUGUGGCGCAUACCUGUAAUCCCAGCUGCUGGGGAGGCUAAGGCAGGAGGAUCGUGAGUUCAAAGCCAGCCUCAGCAAAAGUGAGGUGCUAAGCAGCUCAGUGAUACCCUGACUCUA
rnacentral:sRNA from 1 species